GACGAACGCUGGCGGCGUGCCUAAUACAUGCAAGUAGAACGCUGAAGGAGGAGCUUGCUUCUCUGGAUGAGUUGCGAACGGGUGAGUAACGCGUAGGUAACCUGCCUGGUAGCGGGGGAUAACUAUUGGAAACGAUAGCUAAUACCGCAUAAGAGUAGAUGUUGCAUGACAUUUGCUUAAAAGGUGCAAUUGCAUCACUACCAGAUGGACCUGCGUUGUAUUAGCUAGUUGGUGGGGUAACGGCUCACCAAGGCGACGAUACAUAGCCGACCUGAGAGGGUGAUCGGCCACACUGGGACUGAGACACGGCCCAGACUCCUACGGGAGGCAGCAGUAGGGAAUCUUCGGCAAUGGACGGAAGUCUGACCGAGCAACGCCGCGUGAGUGAAGAAGGUUUUCGGAUCGUAAAGCUCUGUUGUAAGAGAAGAACGAGUGUGAGAGUGGAAAGUUCACACUGUGACGGUAUCUUACCAGAAAGGGACGGCUAACUACGUGCCAGCAGCCGCGGUAAUACGUAGGUCCCGAGCGUUGUCCGGAUUUAUUGGGCGUAAAGCGAGCGCAGGCGGUUAGAUAAGUCUGAAGUUAAAGGCUGUGGCUUAACCAUAGUACGCUUUGGAAACUGUUUAACUUGAGUGCAAGAGGGGAGAGUGGAAUUCCAUGUGUAGCGGUGAAAUGCGUAGAUAUAUGGAGGAACACCGGUGGCGAAAGCGGCUCUCUGGCUUGUAACUGACGCUGAGGCUCGAAAGCGUGGGAGCAAACAUG
rnacentral:rRNA from 1 species